rnacentral:lncRNA from 1 species
CUACUUUAUUCAGAUAUUCUCCAGAUUCCUAAAGAUUAGAGAUCAUUUCUCAUUCUCCUAGGAGUACUCACUUCAGGAAGCAACCAGAUAAAAAGAGGUGCAACGGAAGCCAGAACAUUCCUCCUGGAAAUUCAACCUGUUUCGCAGUUUCUCGAGGAAUCAGCAUUCAGUCAAUCCGGGCCGGGAGCAGUCAUCUGUGUCGGAAUGGAUCUUGAAGGGGACCGCAAUGGAGGAGCAAAGAAGAAGAACUUUUUUAAACUGAACAAUAAAA